CUCAUGAUGAACGCUAGCUACAGGCUUAACACAUGCAAGUCGAGGGGCAGCAUUUCGCUAGCAAUAGUGAAGAUGGCGACCGGCGCACGGGUGAGUAACACGUAUCCAACCUGCCGAUAACUCGGGGAUAGCCUUUCGAAAGAAAGAUUAAUAUCCGAUGGUAUAUUAAGAUCGCAUGGUUUUACUAUUAAAGAAUUUCGGUUAUCGAUGGGGAUGCGUUCCAUUAGUUUGUUGGCGGGGUAACGGCCCACCAAGACAACGAUGGAUAGGGGUUCUGAGAGGAAGGUCCCCCACAUUGGAACUGAGACACGGUCCAAACUCCUACGGGAGGCAGCAGUGAGGAAUAUUGGUCAAUGGGCGAGAGCCUGAACCAGCCAAGUAGCGUGAAGGAUGAAGGCUCUAUGGGUCGUAAACUUCUUUUAUAUGGGAAUAAAGUUUUCCACGUGUGGAAUUUUGUAUGUACCAUAUGAAUAAGGAUCGGCUAACUCCGUGCCAGCAGCCGCGGUAAUACGGAGGAUCCGAGCGUUAUCCGGAUUUAUUGGGUUUAAAGGGAGCGUAGGUGGAUUGUUAAGUCAGUUGUGAAAGUUUGCGGCUCAACCGUAAAAUUGCAGUUGAAACUGGCAGUCUUGAGUACAGUAGAGGUGGGCGGAAUUCGUGGUGUAGCGGUGAAAUGCUUAGAUAUCACGAAGAACUCCGAUUGCGAAGGCAGCUCACUAGACUGUCACUGACACUGAUGCUCGAAAGUGUGGGUAUCAAACAGGAUUAGAUACCCUGGUAGUUCCACACAGUAAACGAUGAAUACUCGCUGUGUGCGGUAUGCAGUAAGCGGCCAAGGGGAAGCAUUAAGUAUUCCCCCUGGGGGGUAGGCCGGCAACGGUGAAACUCAAAGACAUUGACGGGGGCCCGCACAACCGGAGGGACAUGUGGUUUAAUUCGCUGAUACGCGAGGAACCUUACCCGGGCUUAAAUUGCAACAGAAUAUAUUGGAAGACAGUAUAGCCGUAAGGCUGUUGUGAAGGUGCUGCAUGGUUGUCGUCAGCUCGUGCCGUGAGGUGUCGGCUUAAGUGCCAUAACGAGCGCAACCCUUAUCUUUAGUUACUAACAGGUGAUGCUGAGGACUCUAGAGAGACUGCCGUCGUAAGAUGUGAGGAAGGUGGGGAUGACGUCAAAUCAGCACGGCCCUUACGUCCGGGGCUACACACGUGUUACAAUGGGGGGUACAGAAGGCGGCUACCUGGUGACAGGAUGCUAAUCCCAAAAACCUCUCUCAGUUCGGAUUGAAGUCUGCAACCCGACUUCGUGAAGCUGGAUUCGCUAGUAAUCGCGCAUCAGCCAUGGCGCGGUGAAUACGUUCCCGGGCCUUGUACACACCGCCCGUCAAGCCAUGAAAGCCGGGGGUAAAGGAAGUACGUACCCGCAAGGAG
rnacentral:rRNA from 1 species